rnacentral:rRNA from 1 species
UCCUGGCUCAGGACGAACGCUAGCGGCGGGCUUAAUACAUGCAAGUUUAGGGGUUCAGCAAUGGACACCGGCGGACGGGUGCGUAACACGUAUGCAACCUGCCCUUUACUGGAGGAUACUCCGGAGAAAUUCGGCACAACACUCCAUAUGCUCAUACUUUCGCAUGGGAGGAAUGAGGAAAGGUUACGGUAAAGGAAUGGGCGAUGCGUCUGAUUAGCUAGUUGGCGAGGUAACGGCUCACCAAGGCGACGAUCAGUAGCUGGUCUGAGAGGAUGAUCAGCCACACUGGCACUGAGAUACGGGCCAGACUCCUACGGGAGGCAGCAGUAGGGAAUAUUGGUCAAUGGGCGAAAGCCUGAACCAGCCACGCCGCGUGCAGGAAGAAGGUCCUCUGGAUUGUAAACUGCUUUGUCCAAGGGAUAAAGAGAGGCUAUACGCCUAAAUGAAGGUACUUGGUGAAUAAGCCACGGCUAACUACGUGCCAGCAGCCGCGGUAAUACGUA